rnacentral:rRNA from 1 species
UAAUGGCUCACCAAGGCUUCCGAUCCGUAACUGGUCUGAGAGGAUGAUCAAGUCACACUGGAACUUGAGACACGGUCCAAGACUCCUACGGGAGGCAGCAGUGGGGAAUAUUGGACAAUGGGCGAAAGCCUUGAUCCCAAGCCAUGCCGCGUGUGUGAAGAAGGUCUUCGGAUUGUAAAGCACUUUAAGUUGGGAGGAAGGGUACUUACCUAAUACGUGAGUAUUUUGACGUUACCGACAGAAUAAGCACCGGCUAACUCUGUGCCAGCAGCCGCGGUAAUACAGAGGGUGCAAGCGUUAAUCGGAAUUACUGGGCGUAAAGCGCGCGUAGGUGGUUUGUUAAGUUGGAUGUGAAAGCCCCUGGGCUCAACCUGGGAACUGCAUCCAAAACUGGCAAGCUAGAGUAUGGUAGAGGGUGGUGGAAUUUCCUGUGUAGCGGUGAAAUGCGUAGAUAUAGGAAGGAACACCAGUGGCGAAGCGACCACCUGGACUGAUACGU